CAAGGGCCUCAAGCUGCAGCAAGAGAAGCUUAGAUGGGAGAUGAGCUCUGCUAGGAGGAGACGCCACAGCAUGUCCACCCUUGGAAGUUUUCAAGAGCAGGUCAGAAGACACUUGGCUUGAUUAGGAAUUGCUUAGGGACCCCCCACACCAGGCAGCCCUGCUUUCCUCGGACCCCCGCCCCCCGCGCAGGUGGCACUGCUGCACUUCGUCCUCCCCGCCUGCGGGGGGCGCGCUCGCGCCACCACGACGCUCUGCUUCGCGAAGGGAAAGGCAGGUGGGGGGCAGAGCGCUUUUGUCCCUCGCGGGCGUCCGUCGGGCUACCUAUAUAAGCGGGCGGCGGACGAGCGUCCGGCCUUUCCCCGCGGCGCGGGUGGCUACAAAGAAUGGAGUGAAAAGCAGCCUCGUCCUGAAAAUGAGAAGCCGGGGAAAGGAAUGUGAACACUACAAACUUGGGAGGUUUCCUCCAAAAACUCAGAAAAAUGUGAAUACAGUAUGGGCCGAGAAGUCUUCAUCCUAG
rnacentral:lncRNA from 1 species